GCCGCCUUAGCUCAGUUGGCAGAGCGGCGCACUUGUAAUGCGCAGGUCUUCGGUUCGAUUCCGGACGGCGGCU
rnacentral:tRNA from 1 species